AGGUGUGAUGGGUAUGCUGACUAUUUCAUUGCAGUUGUUGAUACAAAUGUUGGACGGGAUGAAGACCAGUAGGUUGCCAGCUUGGCACCUCAUUCUCCAGCAUAACAGUGACAUCUUUUCUCACUGUCUUUGGAUAUGGUUAUUAAAUCUCUCUAUAUGGAGAAACUGACACCGGAGAGGCGAAGUGCCUUGUUCAAGGUCACUGAAAAGGCAGCGCCCGCAAGCCGGCCUCCUAAAGGCAGACGGAAGCUGCAGCUCAGAGGGGGCACCGGGUGCGCUCCGAUCACCGGGCAGCCCUCUUUCGGCUGCUGGAUGCUGCGUCAUCGAACAGUGCGUGUUCCCCAAAUGAUGAUUGUGUCCUUCGUUUGCAACAAAGAAGAUCAGAACCACUUCCUCCCGUAAGCCUGCGAGUGGGGGGCGUGGCGAGUGCCCGCGGUGGGGUCGGCUCACCCCGCCCACUGCCGCUUAGGCUUCCCCAGCACCGACCACCCCUCCGGCCUCUCCCGGGAGAGAGCAGUGUGUUCGCUCUCCCGGCCUUUUCAGUGCUCUUUCUGCGACCAGGGGAGCGAGCGGAACUGCCUCCAGGCUUCACGUACUGGAGGUGCACGCUUUACAGAGAGAAGCCCAUCUCUGAAAGCGCAGCAUGCAUUAGCAUCCUCUCCUUCAGAGAGUGUUAUUUUUGUCUUUCGUUUUCCGAGACUGUUCCAAAGUAGGGGAUGCAAGUAUCAGGAUGAGAAGGAAAACGAGCCAGUGUCUCCCGCUCAGAAGAGAGCGAAUCACUGUCGUUUCCUCAACAACAUAACAACAACUGCGGCAGCAGUAAUGGAGAACAACCUGAGUUGGAGUGGAGCUGCCCUUGGGCACAGGACAACCAGCCUGCCCAGAUCUCUUUCUGUGGGAUUUCUUUCCUUACACUUAACAGGAAUGAGGAUCAGAUUUGACCGAGAUUAAGAAAGAAGAAAAUAUCCAAAACACCAUGGCUUAAACAAGAAAGAAGUUUAUUUCUCUCUCAUGCACUUGGAGUCUGGCGGUGAGCC